rnacentral:rRNA from 1 species
CCUACGGGUGGCAGCAGUGGGGAAUUUUGGACAAUGGGCGCAAGCCUGAUCCAGCUAUUCCGCGUGUGGGAAGACGGCCUUCGGGUUGUAAACCACUUUUGUAGAGAACGAAAAGUCUGUUGAUAAUACCGAUAGAUGAUGACGGUACUCUAAGAAUAAGCACCGGCUAACUACGUGCCAGCAGCCGCGGUAAUACGUAGGGUCGUAGCGUUAAUCGGAAUUACUGGGCGUAAAGGGUGUGCAGGCGGUUUUUCAAGGUGGAUGUGAAAGCCCCGGGCUUAACCUGGGAACGCCAGACAGGACGGAAAGACUAGAGUGAGUCAGAGGCGGGUGGAAGUCCAAGUGUAGCAGGGAAAGGCGUAGAUAUUAGGAAGAACACCGAUGGCGAAGGCAGCCUCCUGGGACGUAACUGACGCUCAUACACGAAAGCGUGGGGAGCAAACAGGAUUAGAUACCCCUGUAGUC